rnacentral:rRNA from 1 species
UCGGGAAUUUUGGGCAAUGGGGGAAACCCUGACCCAGCAACGCCGCGUGAGUGAAGAAGGCCUUCGGGUUGUAAAGCUCUUUCGGCGGGGACGAAACGGUCCGUGACAACACCACGGACUAAUGACAGUACUCGCAGAAGAAGCACCGGCUAACUACGUGCCAGCAGCCGCGGUAAUACGUAGGGUGCAGGCGUUAAUCGGAAUUACUGGGCGUAAAGCGUGCGCAGGCGGCUCCUUAAGUCAGAUGUGAAAUCCCCGGGCUUAACCUGGGAACUGCGUUUGAAACUGAGGGGCUAGAGUGUGGAAGAGGGGGGUGGAAUUCCAGGUGUAGCGGUGAAAUGCGUAGAUAUCUGGAGGAAUACCGGUGGCGAAGGCGGCAUCCUGGACCAUUACUGACGCUGAGGCGCGAAAGCUAGGGGAGCAAACGGGAUUAGAUACCCGUGUAGUCCCUGAGCGGGCUGGCAAGGCGCAU